rnacentral:misc_RNA from 1 species
ACUACUACUACUACUACCAUUUAUAUUAUUGUUAUUAUUAUUACUAUUCCCAUUAUCAUGACGAAGACCUUGUGAUGAUGAUGAAGACGAAGAUCUUGUUUUCUUCUUUCUUGUUGUUGUUGUUGAUGAUUUUGAUCGAUUUUUUUCACUUGAAGGAGUUGGAAGUGGCAUGAGGAAGUAAAUUUUGCCACGUUUAAGUUCAGCAUCAGGAGGAACUACGACAAUUUUCGGACAAACUCCUCCUCCUUCUGAGGAGUAAUAAGAUGAUGAUGGCUUUUUAAGAACAUGUUUAGGGUAAAUCUUCAUGAUCUCAGCUGCUUUAACACUUCCACUAAUCUCUUCAACUUUG